rnacentral:rRNA from 1 species
GCUUCCUACGGGGCGCAGCAGUGGGGAAUAUUGCACAAUGGGGGAAACCCUGAUGCAGCAACGCCGCGUGAGUGAAGAAGUAUUUCGGUAUGUAAAGCUCUAUCAGCAGGGCAGAAAGAAAUGACGGUACCUGAGUAAGAAGCCCCGGCUAACUACGUGCCAGCAGCCGCGGUAAUGCGUAGGGGGCAAGCGUUAUCCGGAAUUACUGGGUGUAAAGGGAGCGUAGACGGUAAUGCUAGUCUGGAGUGAAAGG